rnacentral:rRNA from 1 species
GAUGAACGCUGGCGGCGUGCCUAAUACAUGCAAGUCGAGCGAACAGACCAGGCGCUUGCUCCUCUGACGUUAGCGGCGGGCGGGUGAGUAACACGUGGAAAACCCACCUAUCAGUCUGGGAUAACUUCGGGAAUCCGGCUCUAAUACCGGAUAACCUCUUGAACCACAUGGUUCGACAGUGACAGACGGUCUUGCUGUCACUUAUCGAUGGAUCCGCGCCGCUUUAGCUAGUUGUGAAUGUCAAGGCUUAUCAAGGGAACCAUGCGUAGCCGACCUGCCAGGAUGGUCGGCGGCCUGGGAGCGGAGACAGGGUCCAGACUCCUGCGGGAGGCAGCAGUCGGCUACCUUCCGCAAUGGGCGGGAGCCUGGCGGAGUAGCGCCGCGCGAGUGGAGACGGUCUCCGGAUCGGAAAACUCUGUUUCUAGGGAAGAACAAAUUUGUCAGUAGCUAUGCCCUUCUUGACGGUACCUAGUAAGGAAGCCACGGCUAACUACGUG